AUUUUAUUUUAAAAAAAGAAAGUAAGUAUUGACAAGGAGCGGAGAAAUUGGAAUGCUUGUGCAUUGCUGGUGGAAAUGUAAAAUGGUGCAAUCAGUGGGGAAAAUGGUGUGGUGGUUCUUCAAAAAGUUAAAGAAUUACCAUAUGCCAUAGCAAUUGCACUUCGUGGUAUAUAUGAGACUAACAUCUGUACAUGCAUGUUCACAGCAGCAUUAUUAACCAUAAACCAAAGGAGGAAGCAAUUUAAGUGUCUUUGAUAGACUGAUAAACAAAAUGUGGUCUGUCCAUACAAUGGAGUAAUAUUCAGCCUUAAAAAGGAAAGUCUGCCAUCGGCUACAAUAUGAAUCUUAAAAGACAUAAUGCUAAGUGAAACAAGUCAGUCACAAAAACACAAAUUAUGAUUCCACUUGUAUGAGGGCCCUGCCAGUGGCCAGUGAAAGUCAGUCACGUCCAACUCUUCGACCCCAUGGAGUAUACAGUCCAUGGAAUUUUCUAGGCCAGAAUACUGGAGUGCGGGACUUGAGUAGUCAAAUUCAUAAGACAGAAAGCAGACAGUGUUGCCAGGGGCAACACUGGAAGGGGAAAUGGGAAGGGAGGAGGGGGAAAUGGGGAGUUCCUAUUUAACACAUAGAGAGUUUCAGUCUUACAGGAUGAAAAGAGUUCAGUGGAUGGAUGGUGGUGACGAUUCACAACGUGAAUGUACUGAAUGCCACGGAACUGUAUGCUUUAAAUGGUUAAAAUGGUAAACUUACGUACAUUUUAUCAUCAUAAAAAGUUUAAAUGCUAUUAAAGUACACUUUGCUUUUCCAGAAAAAAAAGAAUAAGGGAGGUAUUGUGUAUCUUGUGAGUGAUACUCUUUCGAGUGAAAAUCGCUCACUCGUGUCCGACUCUUUGCAAACCCAUGGACUAUACAGUCCAUGAAAUUCUCCAGGCCAGAAUACUGGCAUGGGCAGUCUUUCCCUUCUCCAGGGGAUCUUUCCAACCCAGGAAUUGAACCCAGGUCUCCCACAUUGCAGGCGGAUUCUUUACCAACUGAGGUAUCAGGGAAGCCUCUAUGUAGGAGCUUAAAAAAAUAAAAAUACAAUAUUAGACACAAACAACAAUGAAUAUCAAUAUGAAACAAUGAGAUCAAUGAAAUAAGCCACCUGCAGGCAGUUCUCUGGCAGUCCAGUGGUUAGUACUCGAAGCUUCCACCGUAGGCGGCAUGAGUUCGAUCCCUGGUCAGGGAACUAACAUCUUGCAUGCCACAGAGUACAACCAAAAAAGUCACCUGUACUCCUUGUGUUGAGCAGGACAGUAAAAGUACUGACUGCUCUAAAUUUAGUUAAGAACUGAAAUAGACUAUAUAACUUUCAAACUAGAAGAGGGAAAGUGGCAUGCUUGAAAAGAAAAAAAAAAAAGGUUGCUCAAUCCAAAAGCAAGAAAAAACAAGAGAAAAAGAAAAACACCCGCACAGACGGAACAAUACAACAACAGAUUUAAUUACAUGGAACACAAAUGGACAAAUCGCUGCAGUUAAGACAAAGUGUGUCCUAUAUGCCACCGUCACAUAACAAAGAAUUAAAACCAUAUACGAUAAAGGGAAUACGAAACACCUAUGAAUCAAACCUCCCAAAAGCUAAGCGAGAACACAAAGGACAAAUUAUAAAAAUCCCAUCAGUAAACCUUAAAGACAGACCCAAACGAAGAGAGAGACCCACGUUCAUGAAUCAGAUCAAUGAUUUCAAAUGGAAACACUAAGAGCCAGAACAGCCAAGACACAUUCAAAGAAAAACAUGGACUUACUUUACCAGAUAUGAGGACUAAUUGUUGUUGUUGUUUAGCUGACGGGUUGUGUCUGACUCUUGUGAUCCCAUAAACUCCAGCCCACUAGUCUCCUCUGUCCAUGGGAUUUCCCAGGCAAGAAUACUGGAGUGAGUCGCCAUUUCCUUCUCCAGGGGAUAUUCUGGACCCAGGGAUCAAACCUGCAUCUCCCACAUUGGCAGACAGCUUCUUUACCACUGAGCCACCAAGGAAGCCCAAGAGAACUAACUAAACAACAGUAAUUAAGACAGCCUGGUAUUGGCAUCAGUUCAGUUCGGUCGCACAGUCAUGUCCGACUCUUUGCGACCCCAUGAAUUGCAGCACGCCAGGCCUCCCUGUCCAUCACCAACUCCUGGAGUUCACUCAGACUCACGUCCAUCAAGUCAGUGAUGCCAUCCAGUAUUGGCACAGAAACAGACAAACGGAACAGAACAGAGGCCAGUCACAGACCUACACGUGUACAGAUAGAUGGUGAGGGGUUUGCAGAUGCGUGGGGAAGGGACAGACUAUACGUAAACAACGCAGGGAAAGGUGGGGAAGCACUCUGUGGGGAGGCAGGAAAGUGAAUCCUUACCCCGUGCUCCGUCCAAAAAACAAUUAUAGAGUUGGAAAGAUAUACAUGACACAUGUUACUGACAGUAUCGAGGCUAUAUAAAGAAUUAUUAUAGAUGAAUAGAAAAAGACAAACAGGAAAAUGGGCAGGAGAGUUGAAUAGACACUUCACAGGAGACAAAAUCAAAAUGGCUAAUAAAUAUGUGAAAAUGUGCUCAGCCUCAUCAGUAAUUGUUUAGUCACUAAGUCGUAUCAGAUUCUUUGCAACCCCGUGAACUGUAGCACGCCAAGCUUCCCCGCCCUUCACUAUCUCCCAGAGUUUGCUCAGGGCCUUCCACUGUUUCCCAUGAAUUCUGCGGUAAAAGAUCUGUGGUUCCACAUCCUUAUUAACACUCGGAAUUGUGUUAACUCACUCAAGCUCACGUCCAAUGAGUGAGUCAAGUUGCUCAGUCGUGUCUGACUCUUUGCGACCCCAUGGACUGUAGCCUACCAGGCUCCUCCGUUCAUGGGAUUUUCCAGGCAAGAGUACUGGAGUGGGUUGCCAUUUCCUUCUCCAGGAGAUCUUCCCGACCCAGGGAUUGAACCUAGGUCUCCCACAUUGUAAGCAGAUGUUUUACCAUCUUAGCCACCAGGGAAGUCCGGUAGUAACUGGCUAAAAGCAAAUUAAAG
ensembl:lncRNA